UAACUCCCCAUUUUGAUUUCUUCGAUUUUUUGGACAGCGGCCCCUCCUCUUCUCCACGAGCAAGCAUUGUCGGCCAUCGCCCCGUCUCUUCUACUCUCCGGUCGCUGUGGAGCGGAGCCCUUGAAGCAUUCGAAUGGAGCACAUAUAGGCAUUCUCCCUCUCCCUUUUGUGGGUUUACCUAUUCAUCCGCUCAAGAUCUAUUCGAUUAAAUAUGUUGAUCUGUUCAUCCUCUCGGCUCAGGAAGCAACUCAUUUUGGAUGAGAACAAUAUAUAAUUUUGUGACUUUGUCAGGUGUCAGGUUGUCCUUUCUGCUUCUAUCUGAUUGUGUAUAGGUAGUUGGCUGUGUUUUGGGUACUGAUAUGGUUUAGUUAAGGCCAUAUUUUUGGUUAAUGCCAGAUCUAAUUGGAGGUUUAGUUCAGUUAAAAAGAUGAUGCCAUGUGACAUUCAGUAUUUAUGUCCAUAUUUCAGAUCAUAUGCAAAUAAACUAUUUAAAUGGA